rnacentral:misc_RNA from 1 species
AAACUAGGAACCUGUUUUCUAUAUGCUCAAAAUACAAAGGAGAUUGUCGUAAAUUUUUCAAUUUUCCUUAUAGAUCAUUGUUUGACUUCUUGGUAUGUUCAUCUUCAAAAUCCACUUUUGUAAUCGACACCAUCCCAUCAAUUCAUUUUCUCCCCAAAUUUCCUGUGCAUCCCGUUGAGAGUUACUAUUGUAUUUUAAUUAGUUCCCCAAGAUUUCUACAAUUGCCGUUAAUAAUUUUCUUUCCUUUUAGGCUAUGAAGAAUUUCUAUAUAGAUGUUA